UGUAAUAAGAUGAUGAUAAAGAACUGACUGAUACUUUAUGAAGAUAUUUAUUCAUUUGAAAAUAGUCUUUCACCCCUAUCUGAUUAUUGCG
rnacentral:snoRNA from 1 species